rnacentral:snRNA from 1 species
GUGCUUGCUUCGGCAGCACAUAUACUAAAAUUGGAACGAUACAGAGAAGAUUGGCACGGUCCCUGCGCAAGGAUGACACGCAAAUUCGUGAAGUGUUCCAUAUUUUU